CUCUAUAUAAGUUUCCAUGAGCAGGACUCCAUGAGUACUUUAAUGCUCCAACAGGAGCAGCAGUGAGUGAGAGAUGCAAUUAUUUUAAAACAGGAGCUGUUUUUCUGAUGGAUCCCUUAUUGAACAGAGGAGUGGGUGUUGGCAAAAGGAGAAAUCUGAGAAAAGAUCCUCGACGACUGAGAGAAUCUUUAAACAGCCAUGUUGAGAAAAGAAGAAGAGAGUCUCAGAACAGGAGAGAAGAUGUCCGGCAGAAGAAACUCGAUUUCCUACGUGUGAUAGAAGAGCCAUUACCUCUGAGACGCAGCAGUAGCUAUCCGUUUCCCCUCCCAGACAUGAGCGGGCAGCUCCUUGGUGGUGUAUCAGAGAUGAUGAUCUAGUACAUCACCCACUAUCUCGGACAUCACGGACACCCAGACCACUGGCCUCCCAUCGAUUCAGACCCAGCAUGUUCACAAAGUUUCCUGAGGCCUCCCAUCUGCAUUGAGAUCAAUAGAACUGGCCUCUAAAACUCUCCAUAAGCCAAUGUGCAAGUGGCCUCGAAGGUUCAAGAGACUAUUAUUUAUUUUCAAUAGUCUAAUCUAAUUCGUAAAAACAGACCCACUACGCUCCAUGGCUGCCCAAUAAUUUGCUAAUCCGUCACUACGAGGGAAUCCCAAAAUAAUCCCCAAAAUGUCAAUUGUUUACGUUCCAAGUCCGUGGUCCCAAAUAGGUCAUAGAGCCAAGACGCAAUGUUCAAUCCUUCCUUCCCCAUCCUGCUACAUUGUGGACUCUCCUCUGUGCUACAGUCUGUCCCAUCAAUCAUUAAAUGAACUGUUACUGAAUUAUGAAUUACUUGGAUCUUCUUAACAAUCUCCCUUACAUCAGGACAGUUGAAACCCUUUACAUCCUGCUAAAAACUCAUCUGUUCACUAAAUCUAGGUGAAUGUGAAAUUAAAAAUAAUUAAAUAUAAA